AAUGUUGUGACACGUCUUAGGGGUAUGGAGAGAGGUUAGCAGAAGUUGCUUUCUAUGUGACUGUAUUGUAUUGUAUUCGAUCUCCUCUGGCAGCAUAAAUUCUGCUCAUCUUCUUCACAACAGAAUCCAUUGGUAGGAAGACAGACAUAUUGUUGAAAGCAGCUAGCAUGCCCACUAAAGACAACUUUUGAUCUGUUCUCCAAGAUUUUAUCCAACAAAAGAUAAGAUGAACCAGACAUGAUCCUCGUAGUAACCUUGAAAAAGGAGGGACCAACACACAACAACAUCAAAUGCCAACAAAGGACGAUAGAUAGAUAGAUAACUGGCCAAAUCAAUGAAAAGAAGAAACACUGCCUCAAGUGUAAUCAGAAAGAAAAUACAACAAUGCUAGGUAAAAUUCGAGAUUCAGAAACCAGAAUGAAGCACACUCCAGCCAAUCAAGCUUGGGAAACAAGGCUCAAUAAUUGAUUAUACUCUAUACAGAAUCCUCUAAAUUAUAAUCUGCAAGAAUACCAUAUCACCAAGUGUAAAAUAGCAAAGAACUUGUAUAUCAUUCAGGCCCCACGAGACUAAUGAUUGCUGAUUGACCCUUUGGAUAUUUUUUAAACUCAGGUUUAAAUUAUUCAUUUAGUC